UCGAGCUUCUUGGGUGCUCCGCGGAGUUC
rnacentral:sRNA from 1 species